GGAUUAGGCAUGCAAGUCGAACGAGGGAGUAUUCCGAAAGGAGUACAAAUCGAGUGGCGUAAGGGUGAGUAAUGCAUUGAUAACCUGCCUCUGAGAUGAGGAUAACAACGUUUCAAGUAAUUGAAACUACCGAAAGGGUUGCUAAUACUCAAUAAAACUAUUGUUACUUUUGUAGCGAUAGUCAAAUAGAAGGAGAUGAAAGUUUCCAUUUGCUUAGAGAGGGGUCAAUGUCCUAUCAGCUAGUUGGUAAGGUAAUGGCUUACCAAGGCGAAGACGGGUAGCCGGCCUGAGAGGGUGGUCGGCCACACUGGGACUGAGACACUGCCCAGACUCCUACGGGAGGCUGCAGUCGAGAAUCUUUCGCAAUGCCCGAAAGGGUGACGAAGCGACGCCGCGUGCGGGAAGAAGGCCUUCGGGUUGUAAACCGCUGUCGGGAGUUAAGAAAUGCAAGGAUAUUAAUAGUGUCUUUGCUUGACUAAGGCUCCGGAGGAAGCCACGGCUAACUCUGUGCCAGCAGCCGCGGUAAUACAGAGGCGGCAAGCGUUGUUCGGAAUUAUUGGGCGUAAAGAGCACGUAGGCGGCUAUGUAAGUCGGUUGUGAAAGCCUUCCGCUCAACGGGAGAACAGCAUCCGAUACUGCAUGGCUUGAGUGCGGGAGGGGAGAGUGGAACUUCUGGUGGAGCGGUGAAAUGCGUAGAUAUCAGAAGGAACGCCGGCGGCGAAAGCGGCUCUCUGGCCCGUAACUGACGCUGAGUGUGCGAAAGCUAGGGGAGCAAACGGGAUUAGAUACCCCGGUAGUCCUAGCCGUAAACGAUGGGCACUAAGUAGAGGGGUUUU
rnacentral:rRNA from 1 species